CUUUUGUAAGUUUGGAAAAGAUUAUUUGCUUGAUGUUUUAUUUGGGUCUUUGAUGGAUUAAGAAAAUUGUGUAAAAUCAAUGGAUCGUAGUCUUUGUUUCAUAUUUUGAUCUGGGUCUUUGAUUGAUAAAAAUUAUCUCUGAGCCUCUAUCAUGUGUUUUUCUGUUGUAGAAUGGGUAAAUUGUAGCCUUCUAUCCUUCAGUGUGCUAACAUAUUAAAGUUGCUUUAGUUCAUAUACUUGGUAAAUCUUUAUGAUUGUAAUGUUAAAAAGGGUAGUUUGUGAAGGGAUAGUAUUGGGAUUACAUAUCCCAUAUCGGGAAAAAAGAAAAAUGAAAGGUUAAAUAUAAGUAGAUGGAUUGCAAUAUUAAUUUGAUUAGUCAGAUUAAAAAUAAAUUAAUACAUAAUUUACCCAACACUCUCUCCAAAUUUAACACUUAUCACACUUUUGUAUUGAAGCAUUUGAUUCUCCAUGUUGUACAACCAUCUUAAAUGGCCCUCAUUUUAUCUUCAAUAUGUGCGACAUGCAUUCUUUGGCAAAUGUGGUCAUUCUUAAUCUUAUCUAUUAGCCUGUUUUGGACAUCCCUCUUAACAUCCUCAUUUUGGCCAGACUCGUAUUGUAAGUAUAUUGUACCUUAGAUGCCUAGCAUUCACUCCCAUUCAAUAUAGCUAAUCUGACCAUGGUCUUAUAGAAGUUGCCUUUCAAUUUGUUAGGAUCUCCUAAUCACAAAAUAUAGCCGUCACACUCCUCCAUUUCAUCUAUACUGUAUUGAUCGUAUGAUUUACAUCCUCAUCUAAAAUAUCAUUCUUUUGUAUGAUAUAACCUAGAUAUUGAAUUGAUAGCAUUUUGGCACCAAAACUCCAUU
rnacentral:misc_RNA from 1 species